rnacentral:rRNA from 1 species
GAUGAACGCUGGCGGCGUGCCUAAUACAUGCAAGUCGAGCGAACGGACGAGAAGCUUGCUUCUCUGAUGUUAGCGGCGGACGGGUGAGUAACACGUGGAUAACCUACCUAUAAGACUGGGAUAACUUCGGGAAACCGGAGCUAAUACCGGAUAAUAUUUUGAACCGCAUGGUUCAAAAGUGAAAGCCGGUCUUGCUGUCACUUAUAGAUGGAUCCGCGCUGCAUUAGCUAGUUGGUAAGGUAACGGCUUACCAAGGCAACGAUGCAUAGCCGACCUGAGAGGGUGAUCGGCCACACUGGAACUGAGACACGGUCCAGACUCCUACGGGAGGCAGCAGUAGGGAAUCUUCCGCAAUGGGCGAAAGCCUGACGGAGCAACGCCGCGUGAGUGAUGAAGGUCUUCGGAUCGUAAAACUCUGUUAUUAGGGAAGAACAUAUGUGUAAGUAACUGUGCACAUCUUGACGGUACCUAACCAGAAAGCCACGGCUAACUACGUG